rnacentral:rRNA from 1 species
GACAGAGGGGGCAAGCGUUGCUCGGAAUUACUGGGCGUAAAGGGCGCGUAGGCGGGAUGGCAAGUCGGUCGUGAAAUCCUUCGGCUCAACCGAAGAACGUCGAUCGAUACUGCUGUUCUUGAGGGUUGCAGAGGAGACUGGAAUUCCCGGUGUAGCGGUGAAAUGUGUAGAGAUCGGGAGGAACACCAGUGGCGAAGGCGGGUCUCUGGGACGGUACUGACGCUGAGACGCGAAAGCGUGGGGAGCGAACAGG